GAGAGAAGCAGGCAGCCUUGCUCCCCGUGCAGCUUGGACCAUCACACCUAGCUGGGCCCUGCUCCUGGUGCUGCUCCCUCUCUUCCUGCAAGCCACUUGGCACAUCCAGGCAAAGAGCUCCUUAACAAAUGCCAUGCACUGCUUCCAAGAUAAACAUCAAUGGACAUUUCAAUGGAAAUUCACCUCUGUGAAACGAAGGAGCAGACAUGACCAGAAACAACAAAAAGACAGACUGUAGCAGGGAAAGGUGCUUGGAAGGAGCACAGGUGAUGGAGUCUCAGAGCCCCUGCUUCCAGAAGAAGAAGAAGCAGGCAGCUAAAAAGAAAGGCUGCAGUGGUUCACAAGGAAUUCUGUGUUAUUUUUGACCUACAGCCCAGGAAAACGCUUCUGAUGACAAACUUUUCUCAUGUAGAAAAGCAGUUUUGGAAAGUCAUCAUAAAAUUGUGCUAGGAGGAAUCAUGAACCACAACCUGAGACUUAGCUUUGCUAUCAAGGUGACCGAACAGAAGACGUUCAUAAAACUGCAGCACCACGAGAUUCAAAUGGUGCAGGGAUAAUCUUCUCUUGGGCUGCCUGUGGUCUGCAAGGUGAAGCAUUGCACUGUAGCGUGCCAAAAAUCAGCAGUCACAGUCAGCAAACUUCACCCAGCAGAGAGACAUAAAAGCCUGACAAGCUUCAGAGGGACACUGAGGCCAAACCUGGCAUCAUCAGCGCCCUGGUGGGAUUUGUCCUGGCAGAACGGCAUUCCACUCCUGCCACUUGCCUUCUGCAAUUAUUAAUCUCCUGAGGACUGGGGCAGCUUGGAAGCUUUUCAGAGCAUUUACAAGCUCAAGGCUACUGUACAAGAUAGUGGGGAGGAAUGAGGAGUGGAGCAGCAGGGGCCAGGGCAACACACCAGCCCUUACUCUGGUGAAGACCCCCAGUGCUGUGGGCACCUGCUGAGAAUGAAAAAGGUUUUCAGCAAGUAACAUUAACUUUGCUUGGAAACUAUCCUUCUGUAUUAACCUGUGGCUAAUACAGGAGGUGAUUAAUAAAUACCCAAUGCCCACUUCCAUCCCUCACGCCUCACUCUAGCACAAAACUAAAGAAACCCUUUGCUAUUCCUCUGGUUUUUAAUCCACCCAAGACCCUCUUAACUACUGGGUGGUCUCUUAAUCUACCCUGCCACCCCACAGGUUUCCAGACACUUGGGUUUUGGUUUGCUGUGCUGGUCUCCCACAUUCUGCACACUGGACCUCUGUUUUCUGGUGUCUCCAUGGCCAGGAGUGGCUUGUGGGAAGGUCAGCAUUUUCACCAUUGCACUCAAAUUCUCAAGAGCAGGCAGAGUUUUAAGUCUUUCUCCCCCAAAUUCAGUGCAUUUCCAGAGGGUUAGGUUCAACCCUAUGAAGGCUAGAUUUUUAACUUGUGCUUAAGUAAGAAAGCCACCAUUGACAGAAAUUAGUUUCCCCACUCUAAAUGUGCACUGAACGUGUGCCUCUAAAAAUAGAUUCAAAGAUUGUUCAAACUCAGUCUAUCUCUAUUUCCUACAUAAUCACAUUAAAGAAUGGAAUAGGAAAAAAUAGAAAUGUAAGCACACGCAUUCGCAGCCUAUAUCUAUGUUAAGGAUAUACCACUCAAAAAAAUACAGAUUGAUCUGGUCUGCUAUAUUAGCUCUUGAAACAGAGAUUCUGAUGCUGCCAAGAAAGUGUUGAUGGCAAGGGCUAGGGGUUUACCAGUGAGCAAAAAUCCCCACACUAGUGCUCUGAAGUCCAUUCUGUGGAUUUUGCAUAUAUUAAAUGUGUACACAUAGACACACGCUUAGCUGUAAUGGGGAAAACAGCUUUUUUUUAUUAGAGAAAAAAAAAGGAAAAAGCAGAACCUUGAAGUUGUGCUUGGAUUCUUUUCCCUUGAAGCUCAUAGGAAGCAAAGCCCAAAUGUGAACAAACCCCAUAGUACAAUGCUGUUCUUGUCAUGAGUUCUGAAUCAGCACCACAGCACAUAGUGUAUGUAUUGAAAAACAGCUGUUGGGUGACAGACUGCUAGCUGGGAAGUUCGAGUUGAGUGAAGUGGUUAACCCACAUCCCUUCCCCACUGAUAAAGUGCUUUGAUAAGCAGGCUGCGCUGGUGAAAGCUAGCAAAAGAGCCAGGACUGAGACUUUCAGGAAUGAAUGUAAGACUUGUUUCGUGCAAGCAACCUAAAUCUCUUGCACAGCCCCCUCCAGUUGUAUUUUACCAACCCAUUCCCAGUUACUUUUAGUACACACUCCUUCCAAUUGCAGCAGAACCAAUUCUUCGAUAAGCCAAAGCAAUAUCCUGUACAUAUGGGAAAUAAAACCAGAAAACUGCUAAAAAGUCUCCCUCACUUUAAUGUUUUAUGAAAAUAUUUUCUGGAAUUCAAAAUAUUAGUAGUGGUGUAGCAUUAAAAAAGGUCUGUAUUGGAAAAAGCAUGUCUGGACUAACCACAAGCAAGAAA